rnacentral:sRNA from 1 species
GCAGGCCCCGGGCCCUCUCAUUCCCAGCGCUGCCCUGUCUUGCGUUCCAGUGUUCCAGCUUCUGCGAGAUGACGCUCAAGGCGAGCGAGGGCGAGAGUGGGGGCAGCAUGCACACGGCGCUCUCCGACCUCUACCUGGAGCACUUGCUGCAGAAGCGUAGUCGGCCAGAGGAGCCAGUGGGGUGGGUCGCAGCCACAUUAAGAAUGCCCUGCUCAGCCAGAACCCGGAGAAGUUUGUGUACCCUGUCCCAUGUAAGUAGCUCUUAGGCACCUUGGAGGGGAGGUGACAGGCUGAAGGACGGGGCAUCAGUAGCACAUUUUAUCACAGUACCACUCGCCAUCUGAAAUACCAUAGUGUUAUUUUAUUUUUUUUUAAUUAUUUUAUUUUAAAUGAUUAUUAAAACUAAACAAAAUAUGGAAAGAUAAAAAUUUGUGCCCACAAUUCCUCCACCUAACAGAAUAACUGUUUUCUUAUUGUUAUUCGUGCUGUUUGUCUACAUAACAGAAGCUAUAGUAAACAUUUUUAUACUGCCUUAAAAAUUACUAAGUAUUAAAGUUUAUACAUAUAACUUUGUCAUUUUACUUUUUAAACAUUUUCUCAUGUUCCUCUGCAAUUUGCCUAAUUCUCUUUGAGAACGGUUUUAUAGUCCACCAAGUGGAUGUACUUGGUGGAUUUCCUUAGCUAUCCCACUCUUGAUGUUCAGGCUGCCUCUCAUUUUCAUGGAAUGUCUUCUAAAUCAAAGCAGUGCCUAGGAAAGGCCCAAACUAUCUCAACAGCAGUCCUAGAUAUGGAGAACAGUAGCGCCAGUGAUCAGGUGGAGAAUUUGAUAACUUCCAUUCCCAGAAGUGAUGCUGCAUGGUAUAGUUGUGUAUGUUCCCAGAAAGAAAUACAGUCAUUCCUCACUUAAUAUUGUCAGUAGGCUCUUCGAAGACUGUGACUUUAAGUGAAAUGACAUAUAACAAGAACCAGUUUUUUUACUCAUCAACAAUACAAUGAAAUGAAGUUGAACUAAACCAUGUUAGUCAAGGACCAGCUGCAUGUGAUU